CAUUCAAAGCACCUCAUAU
rnacentral:siRNA from 1 species